CACUCUGGUGGCCUAGUGGUUAGAGCAUCCGCUUUGGAUGCGGGAGGUUGUGGGUUCAAUCCCCGGCCAAGUCA